rnacentral:lncRNA from 1 species
ACACUUCAUACUUUAGACUUGACAAUCUCACAACCUCUUCUGAACUCAUACUUAGAGUGUUUUUGCUUCUUGUCUACACUUUGUCUAUUACAAGACUACUGCUUUCUUCUUGCUUAUUUAUUUGAAACUGGUAUGCCCAUAAUUUAAGCUUCAACAUAUUCACAAUAUGUUUAAUUAUAGCUUUCUGUAUCUAUGUCUACUUUCUACUUCUGCGGAGUUAAAUAUUUAACUAGCAUGUUAAUUUCCUUUUGCCUGUUUCUAUUGUGAAUCUCUGCUCAAGUUUCCGUUUAUG